rnacentral:piRNA from 1 species
CUGACCGAGAUUUAAAACCGUGUAGA